rnacentral:rRNA from 1 species
GAUGAACGCUGGCGGCGUGCCUAAUACAUGCAAGUCGAGCGAAUGGAUUAAGAGCUUGCUCUUAUGAAGUUAGCGGCGGACGGGUGAGUAACACGUGGGUAACCUGCCCAUAAGACUGGGAUAACUCCGGGAAACCGGGGCUAAUACCGGAUAACAUUUUGAACCGCAUGGUUCGAAAUUGAAAGGCGGCUUCGGCUGUCACUUAUGGAUGGACCCGCGUCGCAUUAGCUAGUUGGUGCGGUAACGGCUCACCAAGGCAACGAUGCGUAGCCGACCUGAGAGGGUGACAGGACACACUGGGACAGAGACACGGCCCAUACUCCGCCGGGAGGCAGCAGUAGGGAAUCUUCCGCAAUGGACGAAAGUCUGACGGAGCAACGCCGCGUUAGUGAUGAAGGCUUUCGGGUCGUAAAACUCUGUUGUUAGGGAAGAACAAGUGCUAGUUGAAUAAGCUGGCACCUUGACGGUACCUAACCAGAAAGCCACGGCUAACUACGUGCCAGCAGCCGCCGUAA